CCUACGGGUGGCAGCAGUGGGGAAUAUUGCACAAUGGGCGCAAGCCUGAUGCAGCCAUGCCGCGUGUAUGAAGAAGGCCUUCGGGUUGUAAAGUACUUUCAGCGGGGAUGAAGGGAGUAAAGUUAAUACCUUUGCUCAUUGACGUUACCCGCAGAAGAAGCACCGGCUAACUCCGUGCCAGCAGCCGCGGUAAUACGAAGGGGGCUAGCGUUGUUCGGAAUUACUGGGCGUAAAGCGCACGCAGGCGGUUUGUUAAGUCAGAUGUGAAAUCCCCGGGCUCAACCUGGGAACUGCAUCUGAUACUGGCAAGCUUGAGUCUCGUAGAGGGGGGUAGAAUUCCAGGUGUAGCGGUGAAAUGCGUAGAGAUCUGAAGGAAUACCAGUGGCGAAGGCGGCCCCCUGGACAAAGACUGACGCUCAGAUGCGAAAGCGUGGGGAGCAAACAGGAUUAGAUACCCGGGUAGUC
rnacentral:rRNA from 1 species